GGGGGGGUUAGCAAUGCAGGGAGACGCUGUGUUGUGAGGCGCUCUCCCUGCUCAGCAACGAUCAGCUGUUGCAGAUAGCUGUCUCAAGACCCUUCAGUGCCGAUCUCUCUACCUUCCCCCCCUCAGAGACAGGGUACAGCAGUGGCAGCCAACCCACAGCCGAGGCCCUGCCUGCGACCCCCCUCUUCCCCUCAGAGACGUUAAAUAUUUUUUUUACUUGAUUUUUUUACCGCUGCUGUACCAUCUGGAAGUCGAGGCCCCGCCCCUCUCACAGGCUCUGCCACUACCACGGGCCGCGAUUACUUCCCUCCACCACCAACUGAGGAUCCAACACAAAGCUCCUAUAGCCAAUCAUCAGCCUCAAUCCAGAGUUCAUUGCGGCUCAAUAAAAAGACAUCCUGUUGGAUGGCCUAGUGAAAGGUGUGGACGCCGUGGCCAUCUUGUAACAGCAAGGAACCGUUAAAAACUGGUCCAGCAAGUGAAUACCUCCGUUCUAAGGAUCUGAUUGAGUACAUUGAGACUGACUGAUCUUAACCACGGGCAGACCGGACACCCAGCCAAGUAUUCAUUGUCUCCAGCUGUGCAGUGUAAAGGACAUGGACAGCAUAGCACCAUAUUCACAAGCCCUCUUAAGGGGUCAGUAAAGACAACAAUCCCCCCGGUUUACAUUGUUGGGACAUUAUGGACUGAGUUGUUGUGCAAGUGCAAGUCAGAUAUUUAAUCUGGGAAGUACUGAGGUAUUUAUGCAAGUGCAAGUAAAUUCCUUUAGCUGAAAGAGACUUACUGUAGUUUAUUUAACCAAGGCACUAUCAUUGUCAAUCAAGUCAUAUUUGUCAAGAGACACUACCAUCCCUUCGCUAGCUACACCCUCUUUGAAUAGAACUGAGAUACACUGCCAUUAUUACAACCCAUGAUUCUUUAUAUAUCUCUGUGCCAAUUCCCCCAUUGCAACGCUGUGGCAUCACAGAAUUCUACAAGAGCUCCAAUGUUAUUUGCUGGUGAAGAUCAUUAUAGCUUGGCUAGGGAAAGCUAGGAAUUUAGUAAUCAUCGUUGAAAAGUGUUUUCCACUACUCUUCUCAUCACAAUAUUAUAGACUGCGAUUCUAAUUAUAAUAUGCUAAUAUCUGCGAUUCUGAGUAUGAUAUGCUAAUAUCUGUAAUUCAGUUGAUUGUCUUUUACAUUUUUGAAUGUUCCAUUGUGAUCUGAACUGUAUCCAAUUGUCCUUUCUUUAUUUUCAUUUACUAACAAAUUUUUCUUGUGAUUUUUAUUCAGUCUUCACGCCAAUUAACCAAUCAUCAUCCUCGAUCCAGAGUUCAUUGCGGUAAAUAAAAUACAUCCUGUUGCAA